GUGGGGAAUCUUCCGCAAUGGACGAAAGUCUGACGGAGCAACGCCGCGUGAGUGAAGAAGGUUUUCGGAUCGUAAAGCUCUUUCGUUAGGGACGAACGUGCUCUUUGUGAAUAAUGAGGAGUAAUGACGGUACCUAAAUAAGAAGCCACGGCUAACUACGUGCCAGCAGCCGCGGUAAUACGUAGGUGGCAAGCGUUGUCCGGAAUUAUUGGGCGUAAAGCGCGCGCAGGCGGGAUAUCAAGUCUGUCUUAAAAGUGCGGGGCACAACCUCGUGAGGGGACAGAAACUGGUAUUCUUGAGUGUCGGAGAGGAAAGUGGAAUUCCAAGUGUAGCGGUGAAAUGCGUAGAGAUUUGGAAGAACACCAGUGGCGAAGGCGACUUUCUGGACGAUGUCUGACGCUGAGGCGCGAAAGCUAGGGGAGCGAACGGGAUUAGAAACCCUAGUAGUCC
rnacentral:rRNA from 1 species